CCAUUGCACCAGCAUUUGUGGCUGCGGCAGCAGUUGACGCCCCUCCUGCAGCAGUUGAUGCCCCUGCAGCAGUUGUCAUCCCUGCAGCAGUGGUUGCCGCAGCAGGAUUUGUGGCUGCGGCAGCAGUUGACGCCCCUGCACCAGCAUUUGUGGCUGCAGCAGCAGUUGAUCCCAUUGCACCAGCAUUUGUGGCUGCGGCAGCAGUUGACGCCCCUGCACCAGCAUUUGUGGCUGCGGCAGCAG